GGUUGUAGCUCAGUGGUGGAGCACUUGCCUAGCACAUGUGAGAUUCUGGGAUUCUGGGUUCGAUCCUCAGGACCA
rnacentral:tRNA from 1 species